rnacentral:rRNA from 1 species
AUUGAACGCUGGCGGCAUGCUUUACACAUGCAAGUCGAACGGCAGCGGACCUUCGGGUGCCGGCGAGUGGCGAACGGGUGAGUAAUAUAUCGGAACGUACCUUUCAGUGGGGGAUAACGUAGCGAAAGUUACGCUAAUACCGCAUAUUCUGUGAGCAGGAAAGCAGGGGAUCGCAAGACCUUGCGCUGAUUGAGCGGCCGAUAUCAGAUUAGCUAGUUGGUGAGGUAAAGGCUCACCAAGGCGACGAUCUGUAGCGGGUCUGAGAGGAUGAUCCGCCACACUGGAACUGAGACACGGUCCAGACUCCUACGGGAGGCAGCAGUGGGGAAUUUUGGACAAUGGGCGCAAGCCUGACUCCAGCCAUGCCGCGUGAGUGAAGAAGGCC